CAAUGCACCAUGUUGGCUCUCUAGCAGAUCUGUAACUUACCACUGUCCACCUGAUGGAAACCACAGUAACAUCUUUUCCCACCACUCUGACAGCUGGUGUGUGGUAUCUAUGGAUCACAUAUG
rnacentral:lncRNA from 1 species